ACCGCAGACCGCCUUAUCGCUGCUAUGAAAAUAGGAGAGGAAAGUCCGGACACCAAAGAGUAGCAUAGUGGGUAACACCCAUCUCCCGAUAGCUAUCGGGAAGGACAAGUGCAACAGAAAGUAUGUACAGGUAAUGCUGUAGUGAAACCAGGUAAACUCUAUGCGGUGAAAUGCCAAGUAUAUCAGCAGUUUUCGAGCAAUCGAAAUAAGGGUUACUCGCCCGAUGUUGAAGGGUAGGCAGCUUGAUCCCGAUAGUAAUAUCGGGACUAGAUAAAUGAUAAGGUUCCAAUUUAUUGGAAACAGAAUCCGGCUUAUAGGUCUGCUUUUUUU
rnacentral:RNase_P_RNA from 1 species